CUCGGAUGCAAUUAUUGAAAUUGUGUGCCAGGAUGAUGACCAAUACACAGGGAAUGACAAGAAUGAAGGGCAAUUGGACAAUAUUCCUUCAACAGAGGAUUUUAGAGGUGAUGCAAGAAGAGGACCCCUGCAGGAACAUGUUCAAGAAUCUGAUGGUUUUCAGAAUCCUUAUAAGAGCCACAGGCGAGAGGCCAAUGCUAGGAGAACACAGUUUAUAAACCCUAUAGGUGAUCAUUUAACCAAAGGAGAUGGAGUGGUUCCUUUCUCCCCGGAGGCUCCUGAUCAGUUUGUUUCUGAUUCUGGAGGACAGACUUCUGCAUAUGACAACAAGAAUUGUGUUUCUAAACAAGAGGAAAGGGGAAAAACGGUAAGUGCACACGAUAGAUCACCUGACAUUACUUCCAGCAAUAGCAGAGAUAGACUCCAAGUUGAUAGUCAGAAGGAAGAAUCAUUUGAAAGUGUUGAUCGUACACACACUCCUGUCCCUUCUUCUCCCACUGCUGAUAGACCUGCUCAGGAGCAAGAUAUGGAAGAUAGAGAUGAUAUUCCUGAUCAAGUUGUUGGAGCAGACACAAACAGUGAAGUUGACGGGGAGGAAAUGACUUUGGAUGCAAGAACUGAUAGUGAAGCCAUGAAUGAUGAAUUUCUACAUUCUGCAAAAAAGCAGAAGUUAAGUUCACGACAUGAACAGUCUUCUCCUCAAGAAACUGAUGAUGGAGAAGACUCCAAGGCUGGAAGAAGUAGUGAGAAUAGCAAAGUCCAAUCUGGAAGUAGUCGAGGUUAUCGCAAGUUACGGGAUGAUAUGGAUGAGGAAGUUGUUCAAGGUAGACGCUCUUUGCGCGUAGAUAAUGCCAAAAAAACAGUUGCCAGAGAUGAGGAUAGAGUUCGAAAGAAAGCCCGCUAUGAGAAAGAAGCAGAAAAGCACUCUGGGGUAGUGAAAGGGAGGGAAGAUUCUUAUCCCCGUAAAGGCGCCGACUCUAGUUCAGCCCAUUACGUUGACCGGCGAAGGGAACGCGAAUAUUCAGAGGGAUUAUGGCAAAGAAGGG
rnacentral:misc_RNA from 1 species